rnacentral:rRNA from 1 species
UACGAAGGGUGCAAGCGUUACUCGGAAUUACUGGGCGUAAAGCGUGCGUAGGCGGUUUGUUAAGUCUGAUGUGAAAGCCCUGGGCUCAACCUGGGAAUGGCAUUGGAUACUGGCAACCUAGAAUGUGGUGAGGGUGGCGGAAUUCCCGGUGUAGCAGUGAAAUGCGUAGAUAUCGGGAGGAACAUCCGUGGCGAAGGCGGCCACCUGGACCAACAUUGACGCUGAGGCACGAAAGCGUGGGGAGCAAACAGG